GGGCUAUUAGCUCAGUGGUAGAGCGCGCCCCUGAUAAUUGCGUUCACGGGCGAGGUCUCUGGUUCAAGUCCAGGAUGGCCCA
rnacentral:tRNA from 4 species